rnacentral:lncRNA from 1 species
ACGAUGUUGGCGGGGUUCUAAGAUGGCCGCCGAGCCGCUGUUUCCUCCCUGGUAAGUUCGGCUUCGCGAGGCGCGACUUGGCGGCAGGAUUCGCGGCGGCCUGUCGGGCUGUGUUCCGAGGCAGGGAGGGCGGCGCAGGAGUCGGGGCGGCUCGUCCUCGCAGAUCUGCCGAAGCGGGCUUGGAAAACCCUGGGUUCGGGCGGGCGCCGCUGGGCUCCGGGGGCGUCGUGAGGUAGCCGUCCGGUCCCGGGCCAGCGAGGAGCGCGAAAGCCCACACAGCAACUGCGGCUGACCAGAGCGAGGUUCGCGGCUCGCCGCUCCGCCGGCGUCCCGAUGCGAGUUCUGACGCGGCUGGAGAGCUGAAGGUGGUGCGGCCUCGCACCGGGUGAGUGCCGCCGAGUUCCAGGUUGUCCGUGCGGGAAGGGGUGUGCCUUUCAGAGCCACCCUCUCAGUCUUGAACUUUGUAAGUACUUGUACAGUGGCAUGGAUUGCGUGGUUUAAAAUCUUUCCACACAAGUUAGAGAGGGUCCCGGGGGAAAGUGGGUUCCAAGCCUUGGCUGUAAACAUUGUUUUAAUUCAAACUCACCUAUCCUUAAGAUUAAAAAUACAAAAAAUAAAUAACUUAUUUGAAGUAUAUCUGAACUGAGGCCCCUGACUCCCCUCGGGUUUUCUGUGUCGUUUUAAGAAAAAGGAACACAUUUUCUAACAAUAAAUAAGACAUUUACAUUAAUGUUGAUAAUCUUAAGCCUAAAAGUGUGUCAGUUAACUAGUUCCAAAGUUCAGGAACUAUUUAUUAUGCUCUUAUAGGUUAGAGGAUGGCGGUUAUAAUUAUUUUACAAAUAGGAUUAAAUUUAGAUGUUUGUGAUUAUUUAAAAUCGAAUACAUAAGACAGCCACUUGAUGGAAAUGCAGCUUAAAUUCUGGCAUAGUAGAGACAGAAAAUUUGUUGGAUGCGCAGAUUUUAUCCUUUGGGUAUUGCUUGUAACCAGUUUUGUGGUCUAGAAAUACAUUUCUCAAAUCUCUAAAUGUGACUCUCAGUGUGUUACUUAGUAUAAUAUCUCCCCUUUUUCAUAUGCAAAAAGUGCAGAAAAAAUUAUUAGUAAAAUUUGCCUAGAUUUGACCUGUCUCCCAAAUCUUUGUCUCCAAGAAUUCGCCACCAACUUUGCCCUCUAAAAGUUCAUAAUUUAAAGCUGUCAGGCGUAACUGGAUCACAAUGAUUUUGGCCAGUUGUAGAAAGAGUUGCUGUUAGUUUCUAAUGUGUGUUGUGAUGAAGAUUAGUGCCUGCCUCUUGGUUUGUGUGUGGUGUGUGACAGGUCUGCCUUCUUUUUCUCCUGCUGCUUGUCUGUCUUUUGUUGUAACUUGGUUUCCUGCCCCUUUUCAGUGGACCCUGUGCAGAGCCUCUGAAAACUGAUCAUCUAGUGAGGUAGAGGAGAGAAGCUGCGUUUAUAUUGAUCAAAGAGUAAAGCAGCUCUGGUCAUUUAGGACUCUGAGGCCAUUAAGAUCAUAAACAUUUUAAAGGUGUGUGUGAGACCAUCGCACUGGUAUUUGACCAUACCUUCGUUUUAAAGCUUAGAAAGAACGAAAACCCAGGCAAAUACAAUGGCCUGCUCAGGAUGGAAGUCAUCUGACUUUCAAGACUAUUUUUACCUCUAUAACUAGUCUUCUACAGAUCUGACACAAACUAGAACUUUUAUAAUUGGUAUUUUUUUUAUCUCUAUGGUUUCUGUAUCUCAAAAGAUGGUAUUUACUAAAUCCUUUUUAAUUUUAAUUUUUUUUUUUUUUUUUUUUUUUUGUAGAGAAUGAGGUGUAUAGUCAACAUCUCUGGUAACAGGUAAAGAAUAUACUUUACUGGAUUUAGGGUUUCUCACCUAAAGGUAGAUGAUACUGUGCUACCAGGGGGAAAGUAAAAUACUGGAUUUAAAAAAAAACAAAAACUGAUAAUUAGCUUAGUGACUUUCAGUACUUUCAUUAUAAAACUUCUUAAGAAUACAUAGAUUACCAGAUGCUGAACCACUUUGUUCUAAAUGCAUUGCUUUCUGCCAGAGUCUGCUCAGUAAUGGUUGUGGUUGUUUUUCGAGGGUAAAAGAAACCCUCUUUAUUUAGACUUAGAAAUUCAAUUCAUAGCAAAUGAUGUCUGCCCAGAACUAGAAGAUAUGUCCCACGUUGUACACAAAAUAGUUUGUACAUGGGAAAAGUCCUAACUGCAAUGGUGAAGUGUUGGAAAUGAAGAAGUGAUAUUUCAAACUUUAGAAAAAAGGAGAAAUGUGGCUCAUUUACAUCUUCCUUGAGGAUAUGAUUAAAUUAAAUACUGGGUUACAGGCUAAAAACUGAAAGCUUACAAGUUAAUUCAUUUUCUGUGCUAUGGGCCUGGCUAUAAUCUACAUAGAAUUGAGUUUCUGUUUGUCUGGUAUUCCACAUCCUUUUAAAAUGGCUGAGUGAAUAUUCUCAGAGACUAAUCUAGGAAUUUUAAAGACAUAUAACCUGAAAGGAAUGAAAGAGACACUUCAAAGAAUUAAUCACCCUUCUGAGAAUCCCAAACAGGAAUAACAGGAGGCCAGAUAUGACACCAAUUGGAAAAUGUAUGAAUGACAUGUAUAUGCAGAAAGACAGUGUCUUCAAACAGGAGCCCAAGGCAGAAAUUACCAGUCAGCCUCUCCAUACUGGCUAGUUUACAGUUGAGCUGCUGCUUAACUGGACCGCUGUGUUAGGCAAGCUCGUUACCAGCAGUUACCUGUGUUUAUCUGCAGAAACCUUAAUCUUCCUUACAUCUGUUUUUGUUUUCCUUUUGUUUUGGGCCACCCCCUCCCUCAGUAUCAUGGGAAACUGAUAUGUGACUAAAGAUUUUAAGGAACUGAGUUAAAAAGCAAACAAACAAACCUUAUUUGAGUUUUGUAGUAUGGAUUUGGAGGAUCUUUUAACUUUUCCUCUUUCUUCAGGUCCAUUUAAGAAACUGUCAAACCAGGAAAAUACCGUAUCAGCAUAUUAAAUGCUUUAUCAUCAGUCAAUAAGAGUAAUUUUGAGAAAGUUCAAAAAGCCGUGAAAACUGGGUAGCUGCCUGAAAACUGAUGAGGAAAUGAUACCUUCUAUAGGGUACCUGAGACCGCUCUCCUUGGGGAAUCACAUUUGAAUGUCCAGAAUAUAGAUUGUGAAACUCCAGAUGUGCUCAAACAGCAGCCUGCCAUGCUGUCUAAGGCCCAGGCCGAGUGACAUUUCCAUGCUGCGGUGCGGAUUCUGGUCUGUGAAGCUCCUGGUUCUCCUUUGUGUACUUUGGUUCCUAGACUCUUGAGAGUAUCUAGCGUGCAGUGAACUGCCAUGGGCAGUUCUUCUAUAGUAGGCCCCAGGCAUGCUUAAAAAAUGCCUGAAAUUGUUAAUUUUAACAUCCUCAACUAGAUAACGAACCUAAAGGUGAUGCAGAUGCUUCACUACGCUGUUCUCGCUGGCUCAUUUCACAGUGUAUCUCAAGACUUCAUUCAUCUUGUCUUUUAAAACCUAAGACCAAGCUUGGAGGAGAUGCAGGUUUUAUAAGUCAAAACACUUAUAAUUUGGGGGUCUCUACUUUGAGCUGAACUUAUGUUCUGGAUGGAAAGUUACACACUGUAGUUUAGAGCAAACCUUUAUAAGUGAGAAACAUUAAUAUUUGAGUUUCAUUCAUUGUCUGAUUGUCUGCCUCUUAUUUUACUGCUCUAUUCAGAAGGCCAAGCACAAGGUUAUUCAGAGAAGCUUCGUGUCAGACUGCAGAUCAGGGUGGGGAACAUGAUUCGUAUCAGUUGACAAAUGAAACGCUUCAAAUAUUAGAAACUUCAGAGGUAUCUUAUGGGUUCUUCGUCCAUACUAGGAGUGAUAAAAAUGCAUUCAUGGCCACAGAAAUGAUAGCAAGAACCACUGAACAGUUGGUUUUUUUUUUUUUCUUUUUGACGCACAGUUCAAAUUUAUUUAUUUAUUUUUUAAAUUUUAACACUAAACGUUGAGCCCCUAGAGCCUCCUGAAUGCUGUGGAGUACUGUAUCUCAUUUAAUCCUCAGACGAACCAGUGUAAUUAUCCUGUGCCACAGAUGAAGAAACUGAGGAUCAGGGUUGUUAAGUAAUUUCCUUCUUCCUCUAGAGGAACUGGAGUCAGGAGUCCAGUUGAGUCUUCUUAAAAAGCAAGAGAAUGUUUCAGAAAGUCAAAUACUGAUAAACAUAUCCU